rfam:Myotis davidii contig4372, whole genome shotgun sequence.
GGUCGGUUCUCGGGUGAUGCACCCUGGAAUUGGCUCCCUCCUCUCUGGUUCCAAGGUGCAUCACACAAGAACCACC